rnacentral:lncRNA from 1 species
AGACAUCUGGGCUGCUAGCUGCAUGAAGGAGCUACCCGCUGUGGGUCUCCUCUUUGCUGACAGCUGGACACUUGACAGAAUGACCUGCCUGAACUCGGGACCUGCAGAAUGAUGGGACUGAAGAAGCUGUAACACAAACAGGGCUAAAACACGCACUCUCCUCCCCCUGCUCCCCACCGCCCCACCCACUUGCCACAUUGGAGGUGAUGAGAAGGAGAGAAGAGCUGUGGCCUUUCAGGGAGCAUAGUCCCAGGGGCUCCCUGAGCCAGGGCUGUGAAACCCUCUUCCGGGCACUGCAGUUCCUGGCAUCUCCAAACUUCUGAGUGCCACCGCAUUCCCCGCGUCCGGAUGCAGGUCAAUGCACAGAAAGAAAUCUCUCUCCUGACUUUAGUACAAUGGCACGAUUGGUGGCCACAGUCCAAGGAUGGUUGCUGGGGCACCAAGAGAUUUCUGACAAAGGGCAUUAAAACUGAGAAAGUUUGGGAACCUCUGAAUGCUGUAGGACUUGCAUUUACGUUCUAACUGAGCUUGUUGGACACUGAAAUGGAGGAAGAAUCACAAGCCAUUUUCAAACCUGUAACUUUCUGUAAAAAAUUACAGCAGUGCAGAAGGUCUACUGGAUUAUGGCCUCCAGUUCCAUCCAUGUUGCUGCAGAAGCUAUAAUUUUAUUCUUUUGAAUGCUUUAAGCGUUCCAAAUCAUUGAAUUACUGAGAAGAUUAAAUGAGGGUAAAACAAUCCUUGAUACAUACCAACCAUCCAAUAAGAUUUGGCUGCAAUCACUACUUGUCAUCAUCAGUGACUGUAACAGAAGCAUGAAGACCAUAGCAAAGAGUCUGGAUACAGUGAAACAAGAAAUCGAGAGCCUUGUUAUUUCCUGCCUAAGUUCUUUCUGGCUGUAAGUCUCUGAUGUUGGCAAGUGACAGACCCCUAUGGCCAAUGAAUCACAACUUAAAUGAGUACCAAGUUCCCAGCUGAUAUGUGAAAAGGAGCUCAGUGAGAGGUACUUAUGUCCUUUGUGUACUUAAAAUAUUGCCCUUAAUGAAUAAGUCCGUGUGUUCAUUUUUAUUACAAAAGUAGCAGACCUAUCUUACUUUCAAUAUUACAAGGACAAUGCUUGCAAAGAUGAACAAAGGACGUUUAAAGAUACAGGGUCUGAAAGCUUCCGAAAGCCACAUAGUGAGAGAUAUUAAAACAAGUUGAGAGAAUUUGAUGUCAAAGGCAAGAUCAUAUCUGAAGCAUUUCUCAACACUGUAUAAAAUGCAAAAACAAAGAGAAACAAAACUCCUUGGAGAAGUUUCUGCUCAAUACGCAAGCCACCGACCCUUAGCGAAUGUUCCCAAUAGCAAUCAAUGAGCCCCUAACAAGAGCUGGAAGGACUGGGGCAGUAGGAACAACACAGACCAUUUGCUCUGAUUCAACGAUUUUUAUGAGCACCAUUAAGUGAAAAUGGGCAAGUAACUCUGUGGCUCAGGGCAAAGCCCCCACAGCGAUGUGAUGAAAAAUCUUGGCAAGAACCCAUGAAAGAGAACCCUUCAAAUCAAAUCAAACAAAUGCGGAUCUACUAGGAGGAAGGGCCUUGUUUUUCAUUUAAAAUAAUCUUUUAAAGAGUAGACAAUAAUCCAAACACCUCUGGGUUACUAUAUCUUCUAGGAGAAUACUGAUUUUGAUAAAAAUAUUUAAAUCAAAAAUUUUAGGUAAUUUUACCUUCAAAUAGCUUAGGCACCUUAGACCAAAGUUUGCACAUUCUACAAAUAUUGACACAAUAACACCAUUUUAAAUCUUUACCCACCAUUUGUUGGGUUAUGUCAAAUGUAACUCAGGAUAAAAAGUUGUUCAGAUAAGUGAUUGGUACAAUUGGAAUUUAUAGAUUAAAAAUUUGUUACAAGGAAUUAAAAGUUUUUCUUACCUAACCUCUCAAUAAUUUUCCAAAGAAAAUGUGUGAUGUGUCCCUUGCUCUGCCCUUCACUCUAGUGUUUUAUUUUGCAUCAUGGAUGCAUUUCUUUUAAUUUUCUUCAUAUAACUCUUCACAUGUACUCUUGAGAUUGCAUAUUGCUUCAACAAUCCUUGCCCAGCCACUAACUUCUUUCUUAAAAUAAUUUUCCUGCCCCCCUUCCUUCAACAGUAAUCAAUGUCUACCACCGCCUCUAUUAAUUCUGCCACUGAUUUUGUGAUAACUCUUCACAAAUACUGAAUGAUGUAACUUGAAGGCAGUUUUUGUUGUCUGAAUCUGCUUGAUGCCAGCUUAUGGUUGGCUAUAAUGCUCAGAAAUAGAAGCAAUGAUUAGACAAUACAAAGAGAUACUAGUUUAAUGUAAGGAAGAAUAUUUUCAUCCUUAUCACUUACUGUAUUUACUUUAUAUUCCACAUUACAAGGAGCCACUUCAACAUGAACACCAAGCCAUCUUAAGUUUAUUAAGAUCCUAAUAAUGUUUAAGCAUUGGUUAUGUGAAUAUAGAAUGAUGAUCCCACUUUGGAUUUUACAUUCAAGUAUAAGAAAUAUCUAUUAAUCAACUUCUUUCAGGAGUGUUACAGAUGGUAGAGUCUGUUUCAACUUUGGGUGCAGGGCUUAACACAUUCUUUAACACAAUAAAUCAACAUUACUGAGAAACAAAGUAAUUAUAAGAACUCUUCUAAUUCUAGGAAUCAAUGAUUUUAUAUCAAUCAUAUGGAAAGAGGUAAAAGUGCAUGCUUCAUGUUAUGUUACUUUCUUUUGCUUGAGAAUGCUAAAUUUGUAAAACUAUAUAAUAUGACAUACUUGUGACUGAAUUGUAAGAGAUUUUAUCUAAUAUUGCUUUAGAAUACAGAAGUAAUUGUUUCAAAGGAUAAAGGAUGGAAGAUUCUGAUAAAGCUUGCUUACUUUUUGGGGGAAGGCGUGGGGGGAAAUGUCUCAGUGCCCAAGGUCAGUGGCCUUCCUGACUGAAGACUUUCCCAGAGUAGAGGAUAAGAGUGGGAACAGGAAGAGCAGUUUAAAGUCAUCUUCACAACAUUCUGGUGAGUGACUGAUUGCUUCAGCAGCAAACAGGCACAUGGUAAAAAUAUUGGUAAUGUGAAUUUAGUGUUGUUACUGUCAUUUUUUUCUUUAUUAACUAUGAUUUUGCUUACAGAUAGCAGUCAGAGUAGUAGUAUAUUGAUAAUAAUGAACCUCUUAGGGUUGCUGGUUUGGUGUUUCAAAGUUUUUCAGUUAUCCAUAUUAAACUUUUAAAGAUAUCUUGUGUGAAAAUUCAUUUCAAAUUACAUAGAAUUAAGAUACUAUGUUAUUUAGGAUAGACAAAUUAAGUGUGUUUGUCAUGAUUCUAUAAAUUGAUCUUAUUUGCUAUCAAAUAUUUUAAUUCAUGAAUGUAGUGUGAUAAAAUUUGUUAAAAAUAAUAGGCACACAUAUUUUCAUUGUAUUUAAAUUGCAAUCUGGCCUAUUCAAAAUUAACAUAGAUUGAUUUUGACCAAAGAGGUCUAGAAAGCAAGACCUUUUGUAAGAGAAGUGGAAAACAGAGUCAUUUCUUAGUUUCAUUCCACUAACCAAGAUGAAGCUGGGUCACAGAUUGCUGUAGACAUUUUUAAGUAACUCCGUGGAUCCCUCUCCUUCCACCCACUUUUCUCUGCUAUAUUCACAGAUAAUUCUCUACAUAUUUAUCGUUUGGGAGGGAAAAUGACUCUCCAAGAGUUAACUUCAAUUACACAUUGGUGGGCAGUAACUGUGCUGAGUGCCAGUCAGAACUGUAUGUCAAAAAUGCCACCUUCUCUCUUAUUAAUGCUGACUUAGCAAAAACAGAGGGAAUUUAGGGCAAGUCAGAAUUCUUGUUUCAUUGUCCUAUUUUCAGUAAGAGAAGGAAUUUAGGACAACUUAGAAUUUUUUCUCCUGCCCUAUUUUAUUGCACGUAUGUUUAUUCAUAUUCAGCAAAAAGAAUCCCAAUUUUAGCCUUUGUUGUCUUCAUGUCCAAAAAGUAUUUUCCCAAUUAAUUUAAUUUUUUUAUUUUAAAAUUAAUAUAUCUGGCUAAAGACAUUAGAAAAAUUAUAUCAACUGAACAAAAUUUUUAAAUGACUCAUAGUUCCACCGGCAAAGGAAUAAACUCGGCUUUGAGUAAACUCUUGAAAUGUUCCUUUGAAAUAUGCUUAACCUUUAAUGUUCGUUUGAUUGAUUGUGAUUCUAAUACAUAUAUAAGUUUGCUUCUUUAUUAUUCAUUUUUAUAUCACAAACUCUUUUCAUUAUUAUAAAUUUUAUGGUAAUAAUAUGUUAGAUAAUUUCCAACCUAUGGUAGGAAUGUCCCUAGUUUAUUUGACCUUUAUGUGGUAAACAUUCAUUGUCUUUUAAAGUCUUGUGUAUUACAAUGAUACGUUAUUUCUAAUUUUUAUCUCCCCUCCAUUUGUAUUAAUUUAGCAGAAAAUAAACUUCCAGAAAUAAAAUCAAUUUGUCAAAUUUUAGGAAUAUUUAUAGGCUGAAAUGUAGAGCAUAUUGGGAUGCAUAUAUUGGUUGGAAUUUAGAGAGAAGUAAAAAUAAAAUAAAAAUGAUUCUGAUUCUGUACAUAUACGUUCUAACCCUAUCACUUUAACUUAUUUGACUAUAAUACCGUGCUCCUUCUCUAAAUAGCAUAUCAUCAAAAUGUAAUGCAAACACGCAUUUCCAAUCUUGUGACAAUGUAGAUUCUGCUUCAUUCGGUCCGGGGUAGGGUCUGGGAAUCUGCAUUCCUAACAAGCUCCUGGAGUAUGACUGAACUAAUACACUUGCCCCAGAGUUCCUAUUGGAACCAUAGUGCAAAAGAUCUUCCAUAGCAUGUGAAUACAGGAUGUAUCAAUAUUUUUCUCCAUGCAGUCAAGAUUUUACACGCCCUUCUACCCUGUCUACAUUAUUAAAUCUAUCAUUCAUCAUUUAUACCCUCUUUUUAAAGUUAUAGUCCCUGAAAUUAACAGGCAUUUAUAUAACCUCCCAAUGUCCUUGACUGAAUUUAUUCAGUGCAGGUUUGCCUAAUUUUAAUAGUGUUUAAAUUCAGGCAAGGUAGCAGAUUUAUUAAAAUCUCCAUGAAUUCACAUCUAUUUAAAAUUGGAUAUAAUUUAUUUUAUUAAUUUUUACAAUAAUAAAAUUUUUAAGCUUAAAAAUGACCCACAGUGCCUACAGAGGGAGGAGAGUGGAAGGAAGGAGAGAAUCAGGAAAAGUAACAAAUGAGUACUAAGUUAAAUACCUGGUUGAUGAAAUAAUCUGCACAAAAACCCCCAUGACACGUUUACUUAGGUAAGAAACUUGCAUAUGUACCCCAGAACUCAAAAUAAUUUUCUAAAAAAGACCCACAGUUAAUACCAACUCCUAUAUUGACUCAAAUUAUGCAAGUCAUAUUUUGUUGGCCAAGAAUAUUGGACUGAGUCCUUCUCACUCUGCCAUCUCACUGUUCUCUGUCUUCUGCCUCCCUGUUCUACUUACAAGGACCAUUGUGAUUCUAUCCAGGUAAUCCA